rnacentral:tRNA from 1 species
GCCGAAGUGGCGGAAUGGUAGACGCGGUGGUCUCAAAAACCACUGGGGGCAACCUCGUGCCGGUUCGAGUCCGGCCUUCGGCACCA